GUCGAACGAAACACCUUAUUUGAUUUUCUUCGGAACUGAAGAUUUGGUGAUUGAGUGGCGGACGGGUGAGUAACGCGUGGGUAACCUACCCUGUACAGGGGGAUAACAGUCAGAAAUGACUGCUAAUACCGCAUAAGACCACAGCACCGCAUGGUGCAGGGGUAAAAACUCCGGUGGUACAGGAUGGACCCGCGUCUGAUUAGCUGGUUGGUGAGGUAACGGCUCACCAAGGCGACGAUCAGUAGCCGGCUUGAGAGAGUGAACGGCCACAUUGGGACUGAGACACGGCCCAAACUCCUACGGGAGGCAGCAGUGGGGAAUAUUGCACAAUGGGGGGAACCCUGAUGCAGCGACGCCGCGUGAGUGAAGAAGUAUCUCGGUAUGUAAAGCUCUAUCAGCAGGGAAGAAAAUGACGGUACCUGACUAAGAAGCCCCGGCUAACUACGUGCCAGCAGCCGCGGUAAUACGUAGGGGGCAAGCGUUAUCCGGAAUUACUGGGUGUAAAGGGUGCGUAGGUGGUAUGGCAAGUCAGAAGUGAAAACCCAGGGCUUAACUCUGGGACUGCUUUUGAAACUGUCAGACUGGAGUGCAGGAGAGGUAAGCGGAAUUCCUAGUGUAGCGGUGAAAUGCGUAGAUAUUAGGAGGAACAUCAGUGGCGAAGGCGGCUUACUGGACUGAAACUG
rnacentral:rRNA from 1 species